GAGGGAGUAGAUUGUAGUGAAUGGUUGUAUUUGAAUGCUAUUUUAUUUCCUCAUCAUCAGAGUGCUUACAAGUAUCAUUGAUCAUAUAUAAGAUCAUUUGCUUUAGCUUCAUCAAAACAUUUUCAUGAGGGAUAUGGAAUAUUUAGUUUCAGAAGAGAUGGAAUAUUUUAGUUUAAGACCAUUGAUUAAGUAGAGUUUUUCUUUUGUUGUUUGAGUUUGCUAAUAACCAUAUGUAUAGCAAUUCUUGCGGAUGACCUUUUAAAGUCACGUAAAUUACGUUUAAAAUACGGUUUAAAAAAUGUAUUGUGUUCAAAACUUGUCAUUAUAGUGUACAUGGGAAAUCGUAUUUUGCACGGCCUUCUCGUAAUAAGGACCAUAUAACUUUU
rnacentral:lncRNA from 1 species